rnacentral:rRNA from 1 species
CCUACGGGUGGCAGCAGUAGGGAAUAUUGCUCAAUGGGCGAAACCCUGAAGCAGCAACGCCGCGUGAGGGAUGAAGGUUUUAGGAUUGUAAACUCCUUUUGUUAGAGAAGAUUAUGACGGUAUCUAACGAAUAAGCACCGGCUCACUCCGUGCCAGCAGCCGCGGUAAUACGGAGGGUGCAAGCGUUACUCGGAAUGACUGGGCGUAAAGAGUGCGUAGGCGGGGGAAUAAGUCAGAUGUGAAAUCCUGGAGCUUAAAUACAGAACUGCAUUUGAAACUGUUACUCUGGAGUGUGGGAGAGGUAGGCGGAAUGCUUGGUGUAGGGGUAAAAUGCGUAGAGAUGAAGAGGAACACUGAUUGCGAAGGCGACCUGCCGGAACAUUACUGACGCUGAUGCACGAAAGCGUGGGGAGCAAACAGGAUUAGAUACCCGUGUAGUC